GGAAAAAAGACUUUUCUUUUUUUCUUUCUAGAGGAAUUCUGCCCAGACUCUCCAGCAGUUGGUAGCAGGCAAGCUUUCUCCUGUGUCGCCUGGAAAAGUUGCAAAAUUGCUCUUCACCUGUAAGAACAUGCAUUUUAUCUUCCAGUCUCUUCUUGUCAAUUUGGAAAUUGCAGACAGCCCGGCUCAGGAGAAAUGGCUCUGUGCAUUGGUUUCCCUGGCUGACACUGAGAAUAAGCAACUCUGUCCGCUUGUUGUCUGAAGAUGACUAGAGGAGAUGUUUAUCUACAGAUUAAACAUUUAAAUUGUGGGUGUGUGUAUAUUAUACCAUCACCUCUAGGUACUCAGAAGAAGAGGAUUUCAGCUUACGAAGCCUUCUGUCUUACCAGGUCUUGUCUUUGCUCGUGAUACUGUGUCAGGAAGCAGAAGG
rnacentral:lncRNA from 1 species